GAGAGAGAGAGAGAGAGAGAGAGAGAGAGAGAGAGAGAGAGAGAGAAUAAGAACUAGGAAUACCAGGGACAGGAGGAGAAACCUUACCCUUAUAAAGAUCACAAAUAGGUAUCUGGGAGAAAGGAAGCAUGAGGACGUGAGAAGGGCUAACAUACUAGUUGUGGACUUUGAAAUAUAUAACAGGUGCUUGUGACACUGAGGCAGCCUGGAGACUGGCAUGGACUUCAGUACACAACCACAGGUAGUCAUUUGUCCCUUCAGCCAGAGGUAAGAGAAAUGACUCGUGGGGCAGAUGGGGACUGGUUUUACAAGUUCCUGAGGAAGGCUGACUUUUAUCUAACCACCAGAAAUCCUCGUAAAGUCCAGGUUUGAUCUCCUUUCUGGAUAUUUGGACAGCCCCUGAAACCUAAAAGAAAGGGCAUGGAGUUGGGUGAAUGGGGCGGUAGGAAGAAGCUGAGAGGAGUUUGCAGAUGGAAAGUUGUGUUCAGAAUACAUUGUAUGAAAACGUUUUUCAAUAAAAAUAAUGUAUAAUGUCUUUUUUCCACACAGAUUCUGAUACUGAGCACACCUCUUAAAUGAAGAUAUGAAUUCACAAAACUGAAUACAAUGUUAUUUAUAUGGAAUGGAAAAAUUUGAGAAAAAUCUGUAAUGAUUCUAUCCAAUGACCAAAAUACCCUAAAUAGUAGCAACUGACUUUGCAGAAUGGUGCUAACUAUCUUCCCCCCAACUCUUGCCCACUAAUAACUAAGGCCAAUGGAACAACUUCUCCAGGAAAUGUUAACCAUUUUUCUUAUAGUUUGGUGAAGUGGUUUCUCAAUUCUUUCCUCUGCUAGAAGUACCUGUGGCUCAAGCUGCAGUCAAAUAAAAGAUGCCCACUGUGAUGUCAAGAAGUAUGUUAUGGCAUGAAGCAGCAAGCAUCAAACAAAAGAGCAGCGGGAUAGAUUAUAUGCAUAAAGGAGUAAGAGCUGAGGACCAAACCGAGGGCCUUGCACUUGCUAGGCAAGUACUCUAUCACUGAGCUAAACACCAACCCCAGGGGAAUCCUCUAAGGGCCAGAAAACUCUCAUGAAGUUGCUGUCCGGUGUAGGAGUUCCCGAGGUUAGAAAAACUGAAGACUGAAAUACUGCAGGCCGGGGCCUGUCUUUGGAAAAUAAAAUGAAUGUCUUCCUUCCUUCCUCCCUUCCUUCUUUCCUUUACUUUAUCUUCCUUUAUAAUCAGUAAUAUGACAAAUUCAUUCAAAGACCUAACCUUGCAAAUAUGAAAAAACAUGAAGGG